CACGUAGGGCGCAAGCGUGUCCGGAAUUAUUGGGCGUAAAGAGCUCGUAGGUGGUUUGUUACGUCUGCUGUGAAAACCUAGGGCUUAACCCUGGGCUUGCAGUGGAUACGGGCAGACUAGAGGUAGGUAGGGGAGAAUGGAAUUCCUGGUGUAGCGGUGAAAUGCGCAGAUAUCAGGAGGAACACCGGUGGCGAAGGCGGUUCUCUGGGCCUUACCUGACACUGAGGAGCGAAAGCGUGGGGAGCGAACAGG
rnacentral:rRNA from 1 species